UACGUAGGGUCCGAGCGUUGUCCGGAAUUAUUGGGCGUAAAGGGCUCGUAGGCGGUCUGUUGCGUCGGGAGUGAAAACUUACAGCUUAACUGUGAGCGUGCUUUCGAUACGGGCAGACUUGAGGCAUUCAGGGGAGAACGGAAUUCCUGGUGUAGCGGUGAAAUGCGCAGAUAUCGGGAAGAACACCCGUGGCGAAGGCGGCUCUCUGGGACGGUACUGACGCUGAGACGCGAAAGCGUGGGGAGCGAACAGG
rnacentral:rRNA from 1 species